rnacentral:lncRNA from 1 species
ACUCUCACUCGCUCAUUCACUGCAGCAUGAGCAUGCCGAGGACCGUGCCAGAUCCUGGGUUCCUCGGGGCAGUGAGGGGCCGGAUUAAUCUAUGCCUCCGUCCUUACCCGUGACCUGUGCACUUGAACAUCCUAUUCCAAGACAGAAAAGUACUCACGGGGUAGCUCCAGGGACCAGCAGCUCCGGCAGGGACCCCCAGGGAACAGGGCUGCCUGCCAACUGGGACCCCAAAGGCUGCUGGUGAGCCCAGGGCAAGGCCGCUGCACCUGCGCCAGGGAUGCUUGAAAUCCACCGAAAGGGGACAGCCACGUGCUUCCCCUCAGGGAUGGAGAGCCUGAGUUGGGUGUGGACCUCAACACUUCCUGAAAGUGAAAACUGAAAGUGUUUGGACAAACUGAGGAGAAAACUUAAUACAGGAAGAAUAUGGGAGGAAGAGUGGAAGAAACUUCUGACCCACUACUCCAACUGAUCCGUCCUCCAGGACUCAUUCUCAAUAUCCUCAUUCUUGGCUACCAGUUCAGCAGGUCUAAGCUGAUGACCUGGUGAAGUAACCCAGACCUUCAUCUCUAAGAAUCGGAGUAUUUAGUUGCCUUACCAUUGUUGGGCAUUUAUAGUUAUUGAGGGCAUGGAAGUAUGGAGACAUCUCAUUGAAUUUCCUGGCUUCCAGACAUGUAUCUUCCUGCCUUUGUUAUGUAGCAGCAACUCUGACUCUCUAUGGUAACAAACACAAAACUCCCGUCUUUAUCUGAUGAUCCACUAUCAUGAACUAUUCAAAAUGACCUGGCAGUGGUCAUGGUUUCAAGUUCAGUGGUAUUCUUAUCAUAUCAUCCAGAAAUGCAUCUCCACCCUUACCCUAGGAACCAGGACCUCUAAUCCAGUAGAGCAAUAAGCUGACAAGAAUAAGAAGUACUAAUUCUGCAAAUGAGUCACUGGGAGUGAUGGAGCCAAUCUUAUUUCUAUUCCUUGUUUCCUGAACCUGUGUAUUCUGUUAGACAAAGUACCAUAUAUUGAUUGUUGCUUCAAUAAAUACAACUUCACCCUGAAGACAGCAAC